GGAGGCGCGUCACUUCCUGUUUCUUUAGGGGAACGUGGCUUUCCCUGCAGCGGCCGUCAUCCCAUCUGCGUCUCGGCUGCAGCGGCCGGAACUGGAGUCGGAACCCGAGGGCAGCCUCGCCAUGGACUCGGCCCUCAAAGACCCGCAUAACGGCAGCGCCGAGGCAGGCAGCCCGGCCAACGGCACGACGCGGCCGCCUUCCACGCCCGAGGGCAUCGCGCUGGCCUACGGCAGCCUCCUGCUCAUGGCGCUGCUGCCCAUCUUCUUCGGCGCCCUGCGCUCGGUGCGCUGCACCCGCGGCAAGAACGCUUCGGACAUGCCCGAGACCAUCACCAGCCGGGACGCCGCCCGGUUCCCCAUCAUCGCCAGCUGCACGCUCUUAGGGCUCUACCUCUUUUUCAAAAUAUUCUCCCAGGAGUACAUCAACCUCUUGCUGUCCAUGUAUUUCUUCGUGCUGGGAAUCCUGGCCCUGUCCCACACCAUCAGCCCCUUCAUGAAUAAGGUUUUUCCAGCCAAUUUCCCAAGUCGGCAGUACCAGCUGCUCUUCACACAGGGCUCCGGGGAGAACAAGGAAGAGAUCAUCAAUUAUGAGUUUGACACCAAGGACCUGGUGUGCCUGGGCCUGAGCAGCAUUGUUGGCGUCUGGUACCUGCUAAGGAAGCACUGGAUUGCCAAUAACCUCUUUGGCCUGGCCUUCUCCCUUAACGGGGUGGAGCUCCUGCACCUGAAUAACGUCAGCACCGGCUGCAUCCUGCUGGGCGGCCUCUUCAUCUACGAUGUCUUCUGGGUAUUUGGCACCAACGUGAUGGUGACAGUGGCCAGGUCCUUUGAGGCACCAAUAAAAUUGGUGUUUCCCCAGGAUCUGCUGGAGAAGGGCCUCGAAGCGGACAACUUUGCCAUGCUGGGACUCGGCGAUAUAGUCAUUCCAGGGAUCUUCAUCGCCUUGCUGCUGCGUUUUGACAUCAGCUUGAAGAAGAACACCCACACCUACUUCUACACCAGCUUUGCAGCCUACAUCUUCGGCCUGGGCCUCACCAUCUUCAUCAUGCACAUCUUCAAGCAUGCCCAGCCUGCCCUCCUCUACCUGGUCCCCGCCUGCAUUGGCUUUCCCGUCCUGGUGGCACUGGCCAAAGGAGAAGUUACAGAGAUGUUCAGCUACGAGUCCUCAGCGGAAAUCCUGCCUCACACCCCGAGGCUCACCCACUUCCCCACAGUCUCGGGCUCCCCAGCCAGCCUGGCCGCCUCCAUGCAGCAGAAGCUAGCUGGCCCUCGCCGCCGGCGCCCGCAGAAUCCCAGCGCCAUGUAAUGCCCAGUGGGUGCCCACCUGCCCGCUUCCCCCCAGUACCCCGGGGCCCAAGUUAUGAGGAGUCAAAUCCUAAGGAUCCAGUGGUCGUGACAGAAUCCAAAGAGGGAACAGAGGCCUCGGCAUCAAAGGGGCUGGAGAAGAAGGAGAAAUGAUGCACCUGGUGCCUGACCCUCGGAGGGCCGGACCAGGCAGGCGGGGACGGACCAGCACAGGCCUGCACAAGGCAGAGGGCACCGGAAGCCUGGCGGCUCCAGGGAGGGGCAGGACAGGGGCAGCGGGAUCCCUCAAGUUGGGGGCUCUGUGACCUGCUUCCCCCUCCCCCUUCUGUGGCCUUCCUCUGCCCCUCCCCAUCCCCUGCAGGCAAAGGAAGCCCCCAACUUCCCCCCACUCCCCCAGGUGCCAGAUGGGAAAAGUGGGUCUGAUUUUUAGAUUUUUGUAUUGUGGACUGACUUUGCCUCACAUUAAAAACUCAUCCCAUUGCCCAGGCAA